AUAUAUUAUUAGUAACAGUGCAUUUGUACAGUAUUCUAGGAGAAUGGAUCUAAUUAUUUUUGUGUGGGAUGACAUCAUUGGGUAAUGAUGGGUGUGGUUUGUCUCAAAAAUUACAACUUCUCAUCUUUCAUGACUUUCUCUCUUCCAUGUUUGUCUUUGAUGAAGAGAUUCCAAAUGAACCAUUAGCUCAAUGUCUUUAGCAGCACCAGCUGUAGCAGUAGCAAGUGGGUGGAGUUAAUUCUGGUUCUCUGUUACCCACUCCACAGACCAGUCUACUGGGAACACCACAAAUGGUCACCUGAUAGAGAUAGGAGGAGACACUCACGAUCAAGAAGCCAUUCAAGAUCUCAUUUACCAAGAAGGAAAUCAUCAUCAAGACGUAAGGAUAGAGUGAGGGAUUAUUCCUACAGUCCUAGUCCAGAGAGGAGGAGGAGUAGUAAGAAAUCUAAAAAAGACAAAAAACACAAGAGAAGGUCUCCCUCUGUCUCUCCCUCAGUCUCUCCUCCUCCACGUAAAAAUCUAAACCAACAAGAUCAGAAAAGAAAACACAAUAUUAGUCAAAGUGUACACUGCUACAUGCUAAACAUGUCUUUCAAGCAUUCAUGCCUUCAUUUUGACCAAAAAUUGUGUCAACAGUGGAGUAUGGUUUAUCUAUCUAAUUAUCUGUUCACUAUAGUCUCGCACACAUGAUACUACUGACCACACACACUUCAUCCUUCCCAUCUUUUGGCAGUAUACCCAUCUCUCCAUAUCUAUUGUGUAACUUGACAGAUUUGUUCCCUUUGUUAUGUUUUAGAUUUUUCAAACACAAUGUAAUGUUCUUUGUAAUGUUCAAAACUUUGUUUGAAAAUGACAAUAUCACUGCAUUUUAAUGUUCACAAAAAUAGUGAAUUUUGAAUGCCAGUACAUUUGUCAUCUUCCUACUACUUGAUGACUAUUAUAUUUAUUAUUAUUUUAUUUUAUUCUUUAGGAGGUGGCUCUGAUAAAGGUGAAGGAGAGGAGGAGGAGAUGGAGGAAGAGAAAGAGUUCUUUGAUGGAAGUGCUCCUUCUGAGGAGGAGAGACAAUCAAGUCCUUCAGCAUCAGAAUAGAACCGUUAAUGGUUGAUUUCUUUUAACCAAUAGAUCAGAAAAAUAGUGUGAUAAUUAAUAUGUAUGGAAAAAAUGUUUUUCAAGUAUUUGCACCUUUAAUUUUGACCAAAAAUGAUAUCAAUAGUGGAGUAGAGA